UACAGAGGUCUCAAGCGUUGUUCGGAUUCAUUGGGCGUAAAGGGUGCGUAGGUGGCGGGGCCAGUCAGGUGUGAAAUCCCGGGGCUAACCCUGGAACUGCAUUUGAUACUGCCUUGCUGGACGAACUGGAGAGGAGACUGGAAUUUACGGUGUAGCAGUGAAAUGCGUAGAGAUCGUAAGGAAGACCAGUGGCGAAGGCGGGUCUCGUGGACAGUUCCUGAGCCUGAGGCACGAAGGCCAGGGGAGCAAACGGGAUUAGAAC
rnacentral:rRNA from 1 species